CACGUAGGCGGCUUGGUAAGUCAGAUGUGAAAGCCCGGGGCUUAACCCCGGAAGUGCAUUUGAUACUGUCAGGCUUGAGUAUGGGAGAGGGAAGUGGAAUUCCUGAUGUAGAGGUGAAAUUCGUAGAUAUCAGGAGGAACACCGGUGGCGAAGGCGACUUCCUGGACCAAUACUGACGCUGAGGUGCGAGGCGUGGGUAGCAAACA
rnacentral:rRNA from 1 species